rnacentral:rRNA from 1 species
UAACACAUGCAAGUCGAGCGGGCCCUUCGGGGUCAGCGGCGGACGGGUGAGUAACGCGUGGGAACGUGCCUUCUGGUUCGGAAUAACCCUGGGAAACUAGGGCUAAUACCGGAUACGCCCUUUUGGGGAAAGGUUUACNGCCGGAAGAUCGGCCCGCGUCUGAUUAGCUAGUUGGUGGGGUAACGGCCUACCAAGGCGACGAUCAGUAGCUGGUCUGAGAGGAUGAUCAGCCACACUGGGACUGAGACACGGCCCAGACUCCUACGGGAGGCAGCAGUGGGGAAUAUUGGACAAUGGGCGCAAGCCUGAUCCAGCCAUGCCGCGUGAGUGAUGAAGGCCUUAGGGUUGUAAAGCUCUUUUAUCCGGGACGAUAAUGACGGUACCGGAGGAAUAAGCCCCGGCUAACUUCGUGCCAGCAGCCGCGGUAAUACGAAGGGGGCUAGCGUUGCUCGGAAUCACUGGGCGUAAAGGGCGCGUAGGCGGCGUUUUAAGUCGGGGGUGAAAGCCUGUGGCUCAACCACAGAAUGGCCUUCGAUACUGGGACGCUUGAGUAUGGUAGAGGUUGGUGGAACUGCGAGUGUAGAGGUGAAAUUCGUAGAUAUUCGCAAGA